CGUGCGCGCAACAUGACGCCAGCAGGGCGUGUGAGAGUGGGAGCGAUAUCUGGCCCGCGCUCCCGCCGCCGUGAGGUGUUAUUAAAACCGGACUCGGAUCAAUGAGACAAAAGAGCUUCAGAGCAACAAGUGAAAUGCAAAAAUGUGAGCUGUGCCUGCUGCUCCGCUGGGAAGGAGAGCAGCUGCUGCCGCUGCGCACAUGACAGACUUCAUGACGGCGCUCCCGGUGAUCCCCGUCCAGCCCACAUGCCCCGGAGACCCGCGAGCGAAAGGCAUCCAGUUCCAGUCGACCUGUAACCUGUGCCGAGAGAGCCUCAAAACUCAGGUCUGGCUUUGUUUCUUAGUUCUGAGCGUCUUGAGCACGUGCACGUGUGCCGCGUCGGUGCCUGGAACCGCGGACGUGCAGACCUGCUUGGAGGGGCUGAAACACGCCAUUCAGAAAUCUGACGCCAUGCUGUAUGCUCCGUCAGUUAAUGAUGUUGAAGACAAGUGCAAGAUUAUGUCGCUCAGAUGUUACAUGUUGGAGUUGAUAAUGGUCAUCGAUGAAGAGGAGAUUAUUGAUGAUAAUAAUGCAGACUGCCUCAUGGAUUUCAAUGACAUCCUGCCUCCUGAAGCGAACUCUGUCGGCUGUCCGCCAUGUGAAGCAUACUCGCUGAAAAAUAUCACAACAUUCCUGGAAAGACUAAAUAGCCUUUUGCAAGAAAUGACGUCGACGAACACGUAAUCUGAUGCUAACGCUGCAAGCUGUGACUGUGUAUUUGUAUAUAUUUGUAAAGAAUUGUGGCUUUUGUGGGUUUUUAUUCUGUACAUAUCACAUUGAGACUGUAUUGACCUGUGAUACUGUAAGUCUUGCCGUCCUGUAUCCUCUAACAUAGACAGACAAAAGGAAAUCUGAUGUGUAACAGAACAGUUUAAAGGUAUGAGACGACGGCUCUGCAGCUCAUCGUCUGUUUGACCGAAGUCUCCGUCACUGUAUCGCGAUCUCACUUGUGCAGUUUUUAAAGAAGUAGCAUACAGUAGCAGCAUAUACUGUACAUACUGAAUGUAUAUUAUUAAGCUCCCUGCUAAACACUACUGAAUGGAAAACCUAUCAUACUGUAUAUGCUGAAUGAAGUCCUGUCUUGAGAACAGUUGCUAACUCCAGUAAAUAAUAUCCAAACUGUACCGUCUUUGUUUUGUUCUCAGCUGUUUGUUAAAUGUGAGACAUGAAAAACGAUCCAGAGGCCAGUUUGAGUAACAGAUCUGUGAAUUUAAAGGCCCAUCAGGCCUGAUUUCAGGCCUCCUCACAGCUCUGCAAGCACAGCUCUCUGGUGCAUUUAAUGUUUUUUUAUUGUGAGGUAUAUUACCACAUGAAUCCAAUAUCAAAUAUAUGUUAGAGUUAGCAUUAUCAGAGACGAACUGAUGUUUUGACCACUCUGGGUUGUGGUACGUGAGCUCACGCAGGGUCAGAUCAGUAAGAGGGGGACCAGGUGUGGAGGUGUACGCAUAGAGACCUGUCUGGAUUUGAAUCCUCCCUGAAGAUGGACUUCACAGUCAAAGGGCGGAGGCUUCUGAUCUGACCCUGAAGCUCAUCUGAUCCGAUGCUGCUCUUUGAUGAAGUUAUCUUCAACUCAAGCUCGUAUCAGUGGAGUUCUUCCUACAUCAUCAUCAUCAUCACACCGCCGCUCGGCAGGACCUGGAUGAUAAACAUCAGUCGGCGUGACGACGGGAAUCCAGUGUGGCUGCUGUGAGCUGACGGUGGCUGCAGAUGCCACAGGCUGCAUUUCACUCACUGAGCUCGUAGUUCACCAGCUCGUUCGAUUAAACCUGUGAAAUUCAUCAUGAACAGUAUGGAAAACAUUACAGAAUCAUGAGUUUCCACAUUUAACCAUAAUCCAUUUUAUUUCAUUCCAAAUGGCCAAUUUUAAACGUAUAACAACAAAAACAUUUUAAACAUGCAUUGAAGUCCAAGGUGUCAACCCUUAGAAUAUAAAAUCAUUUGAGAAUACAAAAAUAAAUAAUGGGAUUUUUUCAUAAUCAGAAAUGAUGGUCCAGUAUUCUAUUCUAGCUUCCACCUGAACUUCAUGUGUUUCCGCUGGUCUGUACCUCGAGACAGAAAAAUACUAUGGGAAAAAAUCAGGCGCAACCAUUAAGAAGAAUCAACAGGGUUCAACGUACGC